CAGUAGCCGCGGUAAUACGGAGGGGGCUAGCGUUGUUCGGAAUUAUCGGGCGUAAAGAGUGCGUAGGCGGCUUGACAAGUCUUGUGUGAAAUCUAUGGGCUCAACCCAUAGUCUGCACGGGAAACUGUCGGGCUUGAGAAUGGGAGAGGUGAGUGGAAUUUCCGGUGUAGCGGUGAAAUGCGUAGAUAUCGGAAGGAACACCUGUGGCGAAAGCGGCUCACUGGACAAUAACUGACGCUGAUGCACGAAAGCUAGGGGAGCAAACAGGAUUAGAUACCCCAGUAGUCCCUGUCUCUUAUAC
rnacentral:rRNA from 1 species